rnacentral:lncRNA from 1 species
CGAACUAACUAUUUCAUCACCCCUUAGAUUAAAUGUUUGAGAAUAUAAAACAAAAUACUUAGAAUUAUUAAAUAUUAUAUCCAGAAAUCAUAUAUACAGGCGCAAAAGUUGGAGACUACUAUGCCAUUCAUCUUCUAAUUGCUUCAAACGCAAGGAAGACCUAAUUCUUUCACCUUUCUCCUAUUCUAAAAGCAAACAUAGUUUCAAUUGAACAGUUUAGCGUGCAAUGGAUACUAAGAUGCUAAUUUGAGGGUAAAAUAUGGAAUGCCCAUAUUGUAAUCUGUGGUGCUUUAUUAACUACUGAUAUCUUUAACAGCAUAAAGCUAACAAUCCAGGGUCAAGGC